rnacentral:lncRNA from 1 species
CACCCGGCACAGCCAGAAGAGGACUGGCCACCCCUCAUAGCCUGGUUCCUCUCUAGGUUUCUUCCUAGGUUUUGGCCUUUCUAGGGAGUUUUUCCUAGCCACCAUGCUUCUACACCUGCAUUGCUUGCUGUUUGGAGUUUUAGACUGGGUUUCUGUACAGCACUUUGAGAUAUCAGCUGAUGUAAGAAGGGCUAUAUAAAUACAUUUGAUUUGAUUUUGAUUUGAUCUUCACAGUGACCUGCUCAAAAGGUUCCAGGACUCUGCACACCUCCUCCACUACCUCCCAUUCCUCUUGGGUCAGAGCAUCAACAGGUGCAUUGACAAUGGCCAGGGUAGAGAUGAUGUCAUCCUUUGGCUCAAGAAACCGCUUCAACAUAUAAAAUGUUGAAUUCCACCUUGUAGUGCAGUCUUGUUUAGGCCUCAGCUCAGGCAUCCCCAUCUGGCGUUGUGUAGACUUUAGUUUUUUCAGCACCUACUGUGCUCCUGUGGAAAUAUUCCACAGCUACUUUCACUUUCACUCAUCACCUUCAGAGCAUCUCUGGGCAAGACAUGGAUGAUGGGUCCAUUUGAACAUUUUCAUGGCUUUGGCUAUGUAAGCUGCAUUGUCGCUAACACAACAGACCACUUUUCCAUCUACUUGCCAUUCUCUGGCCACUCUCAACAGUUCCUCUGCCAAGUUCUCUGAGGUGUGUCUGUCGCUGAACUCAAAGCAGUCCAGAAGACAGCUAGACAUCGAAAACAUCUUCAAUGAAGUGACAUGUAACCGACAUGUAAGAAGUGGUUACCCUUGAUGUCCAGCAGUCAGUGGUAAGGCAAACUGCAGUAGCUUUUUGGACUCUUUCCCGCAGUGAAGCCUGUCUGUUCUCGUACAGUUGUGGAAUAAGUGAUUUUGAAAGGCCUCAGCCCUCCCUCACCCAUCUUUGGUUCAUUGGUUGACCCUGCGUGUCUGAUUGACAAGAACAAAAGCUGAGGCUGUUAGUCUGAGCAGACAGUCAGAACGAAUGUGUGUGCGCUUAAGCGUUUAGGCCUAUAUUAUUUUAUUUCAAUUUUUUUCGUUCUUUGAAUUAGUUAAUUGUAUUCAUUUAAAUCUUUUGAUUAUUCAUAUCUUAAUUGUUUUAUAUUUUUAUAAAUAGAUUCGGCUCUUCUGAUAUGUAAGCCGGCUCCCAACGUUCACAUACAAGAGCUGAGUCGUUCGCGAACGACCCAUCACUAGUCGACUACAUAGGAGAUAGGGUCACUGCAAGGGUAUCAGGUCACUGCAUUGAUCAGUGAAGGUGAAAUAGGCUAAGUGACAUUUAUUUCACACUUAAUCAUGAUGAGUGAACAAAAAUGAAAUUAACAGACAUCCUAUGUCUAUGUUCACUAUAGCAUGGAAGUCUUCCUUUUGAUACAGCUGUCAUCAAAAUGACUCGUAUGCUGUCUCAAGAGGAGUGCUCACUACCAGGUCUAGGGUGUGUCCUUACUCACAAAUGGCACCCUAUUCCCGAUAUAGUGCACUACUUUUGACCAGGGCCCAUAGUGUGAAGUGUAAAGGGAAUAUGGUGCCAUUUGAGACACUGUCUAGGGCUGGGUGUGUGCUCUCCUUCAUGACCACUUAUAACUAUCAGACCAGGACAGGUCUCCAUUAUUAUUCCAUUCCAUUAUAACUAUCAGACCAGGACAGGUCUCCAUUAUUAUUCCAUUACAUUAUAACUACCAGACCAGGACAGGUCUCUAUUAUUAUUCCAUUAUAGUAUAACUACCAGACCAGGACAGGUCUCUAUUAUUAUUCCAUUACAUUAUAACUACCAGACCAGGACAGGUCUCUAUUAUUAUUCCAUUACAUUAUAACUACCAGACCAGGACAGGUCUCUAUUAUUAUUCCAUUACAUUAUAACUACCAGACCAGGACAGGUCUCCAUUAUUAUUCCAUUACAUUAUAACUACCAGACCAGGUCUCCAUUAUUAUUCCUUUACACCCAUAUAUAAACUCAGCAAAAAAAGAAAUGUCCUCUCACUGUCAACUGCGUUUAUUUUCAGCAAACUUAACAUGUAAAUAUUUGUGUGAACAUAACAAAUUCAACAACUGAGACAUAAACUAAACAAGUUCCACAGACAUGUGACUAACAGAAAUGGAAUAAUGUGUCUCUGAACAAAGGGGGGUUCAAAAUUAACAGUCAAAAGUUACAGUCAGUAUCUGGUGUGGCCACCAGCUGCAUUAAGUUCUGCAGUGCAUCUUCUCCUCAUGGACUGUAUCAGAUUUGCCAGUUUUUGCUGUGAGAUGUUAACCCACUCUUCCACCAAGGCACCUGCAAGUUCCCGGACAUUUCUGGGGGGAAUGGCCCUAGCCCUCACCCUCUGAUCCAACAGGUCCCAGACGUGCUCAAUGGGAUUGAGAUCCGGGCUCUUUGCUGGCCAUGGCAGAACACUGACAUUCCUGUCUUGCAGGAAAUCACGCACAGAACGAGCAGUAUGGCUGGUGGCAUUGUCAUGCUGGAGGGUCAUGUCAGGAUGAGCCUACAGGAAGGGUACCACAUGAGGGAGGAGGAUGUCUUCCCUGUAACGCACAGCGUUGAGAUUGCCUGCAAUGACAACAAGUUCAGUCCGAUGAUGCUGUGACACACCGCCCCAGACCAUGACGGACCCUCCACCUCCAAAUCGAUCCCGCUCCAGAGUACAGGCUUCGGUGUAACGCUCAUUCCUUCAACGAUAAAUGCAAAUCCGACCAUCACCCCUGGUGAGACUAAACCGUGACUCGUCAGUGAAGAGCACUUUUUGCCAGUCCUGUCUGGUCCAGCAACGGUGGGUUUGUGCCCAUAGGCGACGUUGUUGACGGAGAUGUCUGGUGAGGACCUGCCUUACAACAGGCCUACAAGCCCUCAGUCCAGCCUCUCUCAGCCUAUUGAGGACAGUCUGAGCACUGGUGGAGGGAUUGUGCGUUCCUGGUGUAACUCAGGCAGUUGUUGUUGCCAUCCUGUACCUGUCCCGCAGGUCUGAUGUUCGGAUGUACCGAUCCUGUGCAGGUGUUGUUACACGUGGUCUGCCACUGCGAGGACGAUCAGCUGUCCGUCCUGUCUCCCUGUAGCGCUGUCUUAGGCGUCUCACAGUACGGACAUUGCAAUUUAUUGCCCUGGCCACAUCUGCAGUCCUCAUGCCUCCUUGCAGCAUGCCUAAGGCACGUUCACGCAGAUGAGCAGGGACCCUGGGCAUUUUCUUUUGGUGUUUUUCAGAGUAAGUAGAAAGGCCUCUUUAGUGUCCUAAGUUUUCAUAACUGUGACCUUAAUUGCCUACCAUCUGUAAGCUGUUAGUGUCUUAACGACCGUUCCACAGGUGCAUGUACAUAAAUUAUUUAUGGUUCAUUGAACAGGCAUAGGAAACAGUGUUUUAACUCUUUACAACAAAGAUCUAUGAAGUUAUUUGGAUUUUUACGAAUAAUCUUUGAAAGACAGGGUCCUGAAAAAGGGACGUUUUUUUUUUUGAUGAGUUUAUCCCUCCUGAGAUGUGUGCAAACCUGGUGGCCAACUACAAGAAACGUCUGACCUCUGUGAUUGCCAACAAGGGUUUUGCCACCAAGUACUAAGUCAUGUUUUGCAGAGGGGUCAAAUACUUAUUUCCCUCAUUAAAAUGCAAAUCAUUUUAUAACAUUUUUGACAUGCGUUUUCUGGAUUUUUGUUCUUAUUCUGUCUCUCACUGUUCAAAUAAACCUACCAUUAAAAUUAUAGACUGA